AGUAGAUGACGCCCCUUUCUCUCUUAUUUUAUUUGACAAAGUUCCAUCUCCUUUCUUUCCAUGGGCAGAUUUUGUCCCUUCCAUUUUUGUGAAAUUCCUUGCUUUAAUGUCUUAACUUUCAGAAUCACAUCUGCCAUGGAGAUUCGGUCAACACAAGAAGCCAAGAUUCUUUUUUUUCAGAAGGUCAGAUUCGGCCUCUGUAUCAAGGAUUCGGAUCCGUUGAACGGAUACUUUCUUUUUCCUCUCAUCUGAAUUUCUCAAACAGCUUUUGAAAUUCAAACGGCUAGUGAUUCCUAAAAAUCCCGCCCAAGCCAAGAAACCUAAUACUUUCGCCUAUAAAUACUCACUUUUGGAUCCAUUUUUAGCAUAACUCUUAGCCGCCGCUCGAUGCCUCAUAAAAGCUACUGCUCUCAUUUGUUCUUAUAAUUUUGCCUUGCCAAAAAUCUUCUCUUUUCUUUUGUCUCUUGAUUCUGUUGGUUUUAAAUACAACAGAGGUGCUGCAUUUUUUUGUUGACCGUUGCAUCGUUUAACAGUCAUCCGAGUUAGCAAGUUCGAGGUCGCAGUGUAGAUCCUAAGCCAACGCCUCAGUUCGCUGCCCUAAAAUAGGUGUCUUGACUUGUACCUCAUUACUACUCCACCGUGGUUUGUCUUGAUACUUACUGAAUACCGACCAUGGUGUACUCAUACUACACUUCUGCACAUUAUUGUGGAGAUCCAGGUAGUGGAGAUAACAGACUCAGGCGGAGUUAGUUUCUUGAUCGCGAUGAUUCAGGGUAGAGCUGCUUGGUCAUCGUAGUUCCUUGGAGUCCUUUCCUUUACAUUUAUAUCGUCAAAUUCCUAUUCGAACAAUAUUGUAUUUCUAGACAUUUGCAUUUAUUCAGCUAGAGUUCGUGACUCGGUACUACCUAGUCUUGGGGAUUGUAGUGAUUAUCGUAGUGUUGGCAUGCAUCACCUUUAAA